CGGUAAAACGCGCUGGAGGACCGAACCCACGUAAGUUGAAAAUUGCGGGGAUGAGUUGUGGGUAGCGGUGAAAUUCCAAACGAACUUGGAGAUAGCUGGUUCUCUCCGAAAUAGCUUUAGGGCUAGCCUCGCAAAGAGGAUGCUGGAGGUAGAGCUCUGUUUGGACUAGGGGCCCGUCAAGGGUUACUGAAUUCAGAUAAACUGCGAAUUCCAGACAUUUAUGUGCGGGAGUCAGACUGCGAGUGAUAAGAUCCGUAGUCGAAAGGGAAACAGCCCAGAUCACCAGUUAAGGUCCCAAAAUUCAUGCUAAGUGGAAAAGGAUGUGGAGUUGCGCAGACAACUAGGACGUUGGCUCAGAAGCAGCCAUCAUUCAAAGAGUGCGUAAUAGCUCACUAGUCGAGUGACGCCGCGCCGAAAAUUUACCGGGGCUAAGCAUGAUACCGAAACUGUGGAUGUGCAUUUAUGCACGUGGUAGGAGAGCGUUCUAGCGGCGGUGAAGCAUGACCGAGAGGACAUGUGGAGCUUCUAGAAGUGAGAAUGCCGGUAUGAGUAACGAAAGACAGGUGAGAAUCCUGUCCGCCGCAAGACUAAGGUUUCCUGGGGCAGGCUCGUCCGCCCAGGGUAAGUCGGGACCUAAGGCGAGGCCGAGAGGCGUAGUCGAUGGACAACAGGUUGAAAUUCCUG
rnacentral:rRNA from 1 species